CGCGGGGUGGAGCAGUUCGGUAGCUCGUCGGGCUCAUAACCCGAAGGUCGCAGGUUCAAAUCCUGCCCCCGCNA
rnacentral:tRNA from 1 species